GAUGAAGAACGUAGCGAAAUGCGAUACUUGGUGUGAAUUGCAGAAUCCCGUGAACCAUCGAGUCUUUGAACGCAAGUUGCGCCCCAAGCCAUUAGGUUGAGGGCACGUCUGCCUGGGCGUCACAUAUCGUUGCCUGAUGCCAGUUUCCUCGUGAUGGGUGACUGUGCAGGGCGAAUGAUGGCUUCCCGUGAGCAUUGUUGCCUCAUGGUUGGUUGAAAAUUGAGUCCUUGGUAGGGAGCGCCGUGAUAGAUGGUGGUUGAGUGACGAACGAGACCCAAUCAUGUGAGACCCCUACCGAAUUUGGCCUUCAUGACCCACAUGCGUCUUUGGAACGCUCAUGACGAGACCUCAGGUCAGGCGGGGCUACCCGCUGAGUUUAAGCAUAUCAAUAAGCGGAGGA
rnacentral:misc_RNA from 1 species